rnacentral:rRNA from 1 species
CAGUAGCCGCGGUAAUACGGAGGGUGCAAGCGUUAAUCGGAAUUACUGGGCGUAAAGCGUGCGUAGGUGGUGGUUUAAGUCCGUUGUGAAAGCCCUGGGCUCAACCUGGGAAUUGCAGUGGAUACUGGGUCACUAGAGUGUGGUAGAGGAUAGUGGAAUUUCCGGUGUAGCAGUGAAAUGCGUAGAGAUCGGAAGGAACAUCUGUGGCGAAGGCGACUAUCUGGGCCAACACUGACACUGAGGCACGAAAGCGUGGGGAGCAAACAGGAUUAGAUACCCCUGUAGUCCCUGUCUCUUAUAC